CACCAGGUUGAUUCUGCCUGACGUGGAUGCUAGUGUCUGAGAUUAAGCCAUGCAUGUUGAGUGAAUGCGGUAGCAGGAACGGCGGACGGCUCAGUAAGACUACGAUGAAAUGAUGCACGAGCGGCAGUAACGGCGGGAAACUGAAGAUAAUGGCGCGGAAGGUAGUUGCGGGGUGCGAGAGUGCAGCGGACUAGCGGAGUGGAGUGUGUUGUAGGCCUAUCAGCUGGUAGCUAGGGUAAUGGCCUAGGUAGGCGAUGACGGGAGACGGGGGAUUGGGGUUUGAAUCCGGAGAGGGAGCCUGAGAGAUGGCUACUACGUCCAAGGAUGGCAGCAGGCGCGAAACUUGCCUAAUCCUGUGGGGAGGCGGUUAUGAGACGUGUUGAAGCAACAUGGACGACGAAAGAGUUCAGUGAGAUUGGAGGGCAAGUCGGGUGCCAGCCGCCGCGG
rnacentral:rRNA from 1 species